ACUACCUGCGGGGAAGAUGACUUUUCAUCUUACAUGUCUUCUAAACAACAAUAUGAUCCUGAGCAGAAACACCUCCUCGUACAGAAAAAUGAAUGCUCUUUUCCUAAUGUGCAAUCUGUUUAGCUAACAAGCCUGCAUCAGCUUUAAUAAACUGAACAGUAUAUCCCCCCCAUUAAAAACAGCAACAUUUUACAACACAUAGAGCUAUUUAGAAAUGUAAAUGCCAUACCAAUGCUUUAUUUUUUACAUUUUAAAAUGUUUGUUAUUACCAGAAAAUGAAAAUUGCCUAUUAGAUUAGAAGCUCAUGUUUCUCAGCAACAUCAUGACCAUUACUGGUCUAACUAGCGGGCUGAGAUAUUGAAAUAGAUGUGUGCUGAGGGCCCCAUCAACUUCUAAAGAGUUAGUCCAGGUUUCUUUCCAACAGGACAGAAUAUUGCAGCUUCCCUACAAGGUGGAGGUAGGUGGCCCAAAUGCUGUGUGAUUCAUGGCCAUAAGAAUGCACCACCACCAGCCCAAGUGUGGAUACUCACACGCCCUGAUCAAAUUAUAUGUUUGACACAUUCUUAAACUGAACCUUUCUGCAAGCAAUUACACACGUUAGUGAUGCUGUGAUUCAGUGUGGUGCUGGCUGAUGAUGAAACGCUGAGGGCUGCUCCUCAUGGCACAUGGCACCAGGGAACAGGAACCUUAGCUUGCCUUUUUACCACUGGCUUCCCUCUGGAGAACAGCUGUAAUUAAUAUUAUCUUAAAUCGUUGUGAAAGGACAACUUAGGGACAUCACUUGUUGCAGAAGGUGUUUUCUAGUAAAUGUACUGAAAGUUGUAAGUGGAUUUAAAACUUGUCAGAUAGCAAAGAAGACACAGACAGAGUGUGGGACAGAGCUCGCUGUGGCUCUGGGGGACUGCAGCUGCUGCUCAGGGAAGUGCAGCUUCAGGAGCUCUAAAGGACAGGCAGUGAAAGGGUUUGUUCAGUGGUACAUGAAGAGGAACACUGCUGCAGUCAAUCCCUUCUGGGUGCAACUCCCAAUUCCUGCAUCCCUCGGAGGUCACACUGGAGGUCACAGCCUCCCCGGAGAGCAGCUGACGGCUGCCAAGGCAGCUCCAGCCAGGCCCGAGUGCUGCGAUUCUGCCAUCAUCCCCUAAAUA
rnacentral:lncRNA from 1 species